CACGCAACGGCCGACGACCUCCCCGAGAGAGUCCAAAGCACGAUGGCGCCUCUCGGCCGUCCAGGCGCACGUCGAGGCCACGGCGGCCAUGGUGACAGCCGCCGGGUUGACGUCGGUGCCGUGGGCUCCUAUGCCGCGCGCGGCACAUUCGUAGAGCACGGUGCCACUGCCGACAAAGGGGUCCCACACGAACGAGCCUGGUCGCGCGUAGAGAUCGAGAUAGGCGCGCGCGCACUCGGGACGAAACUGUCCCGUCCACGUGAAGGUUCGCCGCUGCCUUGGAGCGCGCGCCUCGCGCUCGCGGCCAGUUCGAGAGCGCUUGCGCGCCGGCGCCGCUGUGCUUUCGGUGGUCGAGCGCUUUUUCGCCGCUCGGCCGUUCAUUUUUUUUUCGUCGGCUUCUUCUUUUUUUGUGGGCCUUUUGCGACGCCCGUGGUCGGCACCGUCGCCGUUUUUGCCUUGUGUGCCUUUUUUUUCUGCCCCUUCCCCUCUGUAUAUGUGCAAGUGUGCGCUUUCGGGUCGUCCGAAGCGCACGCCCGAGGCCGGAACGAAAAACAGACAGAAAGAAAAAAAGCAACUCUGGGAAAUCAGUAGGAGCGAUCUGCGUCGCGGGCGUUUUUCCAUUUGCGCCCAUUCCCGUUGGACGGCAGCCGCUGCCUUGCGCGGCCGUGCGCGUGCGGCACCAGACUAUUUCUUUGCAUGGGGCUCUUUUGGGGUCGGCAAGGCGACACUAGAGGAAGAGACCCAAUGCGAGCGGCAGGCCGCCGACCAACCCGAUUGCGCUACGGCACCGCUCACACCAAUUUCAUGCCCAUAGAGAUUUAAAAGACGCAACACACAACAACCACUAUGGGUGAUGGUGAAAAAAAAACGAAAAAAAAGAACGGACCAUCGACCAGCACUGGCCAUUAUUCUCUGCCCUUCGUAAACAAAAAAGUAGGCGACAGCGCAGGUGGCCUAUUGCACAUUGCGUCCGCGAUCCAUUCACGAUGCGCACGGGAUCGGUUUCAUUCUCGGCGCGAUCGAUCUGCGCUUGCGCCCCAAAAAAGGGGACGGUUGGGCGCCAACGAUUAUUGGCUUGCUAUUGUUCUUUCGGCCUCGCUCUUUGCCUCGACCGCAGGCCCACCCCCGUCGGAUUUAGACCAGGCCUCGAUCCGCGUCGCCAAUCGGCCGGCCGUCGCCUGGCGCUACAUAUGACCACACACUCUAGAAAAAAAAGACUCAAAAAAAUAAAGGAAAUGACCUCUACUCUAUAACCUGC
rnacentral:lncRNA from 1 species